rnacentral:lncRNA from 10 species
UCCGUCUGUUGUACCACUAGCAUCUAUAUGACUUUUGUGUAAUUUUCUCUCUUGAACUCUGGAGGCUGAGACAGGAGAAUCACUUGAACCCGGGAGGCAGAGGUUGCAGUGAGCCGAGAUCGCGCCACUGCACUCCAGCCUGGGUGACACAGUGAGACUCCGUCUCCAAAAAAAAGGAUGAGGAAUAGAAUUCUGUGCAGAUGUCCUGACUUGGCAAUUUUGUGUCCCUGCCUCACUGUCUCCACCAACCCCCGCCUGUCCUAGUGUUGUUCUGCCUCCUGUCCUCUCUUGCUCUCUUGUCAGUCUCUGGCUUCCUCGGCCCCAUUUCACUUCACUGAGUCCUGACACCCAUCUCCCUAGGGGCCUGUGAGAGGAGAGGGAAGGGUCUGUUCUGCUCAGCUCCAUGUCCCCCAUUUUCCUCCACAAUAAACUGGGACUGGGCUAAAACUGUGUCACAUUGUUUGUGGGGUCAGGCUCAGGUGUGGGCAGGUAAACACAGAUUAAAGAGGGUUAAUGCCUGGCGCAGUGGCUCACGCCUGUAAUCCCAGCACUUUGGGAGGCUGAGGCAGGCGGAUCACCUGAGAUUGGGAGUUUGAGACCAGCCUGACUAAUAUGGAGAAACCCCAUCGCUACUAAAAAUACAAAAUUAGCCGGGCUUGGUAGCGCAUACCUGUAAU